AACGAACGCUGGCGGCAUGCCUAACACAUGCAAGUCGAACGAGACCUCCGGGUCUAGUGGCGCACGGGUGCGUAACGCGUGGGAACCUGCCCUUAGGUUCGGAAUAAUUCUUCGAAAGGGGUGCUAAUACCGGAUAAUUUCCUCGAACCAAAGAUUUAUCGUCUUUGGAUGGGCCCGCGUUGGAUUAGCAAGUUGGUAGUGUAAAAGCCUACCAAGGCGAGGAUCCUUAGCUGGUCUGAGAGGAUGGUCAGCGACACUGGGACUGUGACGCGGCCCAGACUCCUACGGGAGGCAGCAGUGGGGAAUAUUGGAAAAUGGGCGAAAGCCUGAUCCAGCAAUGCCGCGUGAGUGAUGAAGGCCUUAGGGUUGUAAAGCUCUUUUACCCGCGAUGAUAAUGACAGUACCGGGAGAAUAAGCUCCGGCUAACUCCGUG
rnacentral:rRNA from 1 species